AUGGAUGGCCUUGGUGAUGAUGUCAACCAUGCAACAUGUUUUGAAGGAAAACACGUGAAAAGCAUUGGAGCCGGAGGUGAUGUAUUUUCUAUUCCGGUGUGCGAAGUCCCUGUUGUUGACGGAGCACGUGCAUCGAAGAAGGACGCGAAGCCAGCUGUUGUUUCUGAACUUCUGAAGGAUGCUGCAGUUGUGGACUCCCACCGAGGUGGUGAUGCUCAUGCUAGUGUUGCAGGCCCCGAGGACGCAGGUGGUUUGAAUGCGUCUCAUGUGAUAGAUAAAUCAAUUUUCAAUCGUGGUGCAUCUCCUCCUGCAACACUUUCUGGGAAUCAUGUACAAGUACCCGAGGGGUUAGCUGCGAAGUUGAAAGAUAUAAUUUCAAAAUCUGCGUUGCGCGGUAAUUAUAGUAAUGAGCCCCAGCCUGAAGUUGAACCCAACGUUGACGAAGUUGGUGCUGAUGGCACUUCUGAGGAGACAGAUAGUGAUGACUUGGGAUUGUCAGUAAAUGAAAUAGAUUCAUCUCAAACAGUCUCCAGUUUUACGCAAACCCCAGCUACACCAGAAGCGGUGCAACACAUGAAGGACUUAUACUUUGCUGUUAUGAGGUUAAGGAAGGACAAGAAUAAAAAGGAUGAGGUGCUGUUUUAG
rnacentral:rRNA from 1 species